ensembl:lncRNA
CCCCGCUCAUUCCUGGAGCCAUUUAAGCCACACCCACAAUCUCGUUAGGCCACGCCCACCCAGAAAUCACACCCACAAUAUCUUAGGCCACGCCCACUUAUCGCACACCUUAUUUAGGCCACGCCCAUUUUUUGCUCCGCCCACACCUGGAGCCUUUUAAGCCACACCCAGUUCCAUCCCCAGCCCCUCCCAGUUCAUCCCAGUUUGUCCCAGUUCCCUCCCAGUGUAAACCAGUAAAUCCCAGUUUUCUCCCAGUUCCCUCCCAGUUCCUUCCCAGUAUAAACCAGUCCCUCCCAGUCCCUCCCAGUUCCCUCCCUGUCCAUUCCCAGGGUCUCCCAGUAUAACCCAGUUUAUCCCAGUAUCAUCCCAGCCCAUCCCAGUCCCUCCCAGUAUAAACCAGUAUAACCCAGUCCCUUCCAUUCCUCUCCCAGUUCCCUCCCAGUCCAUCCCAGUUCCCCUCCAACUCCAUCCCAGUCCAUUCCCAAUUCCCUCCAGUUCAUUCCCAGUAUAAACCGGUAUCCCUCUGUCGCUCCCAGUUCAUCCCAGUAUAAACCAGUAUAAACCAGUUUAUCCCAGUUCCCUCCCAGUUUAUCCCAGUUCCCUCCCACUCCAUUCCAGUUCCCUCCCAGUCCCUCCCAGUUUAUCCCAGUAUAAACCAGUCCCUCCCAGUUCCUCUCAAUCCCUCCCAGUUCCCUCCCAGUCCAUCCCAGUAUAAACCAGUAUAUCCCAGUUCCCUCCCAGUCCAUUCCCAGCGUCUCCCAAUAUAAUCCAGUUUAUCCCAGUAUAAUCCAGUUUAUCCCAGUCCAUUCCCAGUUCCCUCCCAGUAUAUCCCAGUAUAACCCAGUCCCUCCCAGUCCCUCCCAGUUUAUCCCAGUUCCCUCCCAGUCCCUCCCAGUCCAUCCCAGUUCCCUCCCAGUUUAUCCCAGUCCCUCCCAGUUUAUCCCAGUCCCUCCCAGUUUAUCCCAGUCCAUUCCCAGUCCCCUCCCAGUAUAAACCAGUAUAUCCCAGUAUAUCCCAGUUUAUCCCAGUCCAUUC